rnacentral:rRNA from 1 species
CGAAUGCUGACAUAAGUAACGAUAAAGCGGGUGAAAAGCCCGCUCGCCGGAAGACCAAGGGUUCCUGUCCAACGUUAAUCGGGGCAGGGUGAGUCGACCCCUAAGGCGAGGCCGAAAGGCGUAGUCGAUGGGAAACAGGUUAAUAUUCCUGUACUUGGUGUUACUGCGAAGGGGGGACGGAGAAGGCUAUGUUGGCCGGGCGACGGUUGUCCCGGUUUAAGCGUGUAGGCUGGUUUUCCAGGCAAAUCCGGAAAAUCAAGGCUGAGGCGUGAUGACGAGGCACUACGGUGCUGAAGCAACAAAUGCCCUGCUUCCAGGAAAAGCCUCUAAGCAUCAGGUAACAUCAAAUCGUACCCCAAACCGACACAGGUGGUCAGGUAGAGAAUACCAAGGCGCUUGAGAGAACUCGGGUGAAGGAACUAGGCAAAAUGGUGCCGUAACUUCGGGAGAAGGCACGCUGAUAUGUAGGUGAAGUCCCUCGCGGAUGGAGCUGAAAUCAGUCGAAGAUACCAGCUGGCUGCAACUGUUUAUUAAAAACACAGCACUGUGCAAACACGAAAGUGGACGUAUACGGUGUGACGCCUGCCCGGUGCCGGAAGGUUAAUUGAUGGGGUCAGCGCAAGCGAAGCUCUUGAUCGAAGCCCCGGUAA